AUGGUUGGAGGGGGGUUGCUUUCCCAGAAUGCAGUCUCAAGUGCUCCAAAAUGGAGUCCCUACUGUCAAGGUGCUACUUUACUCUGUCUUAUUUUCACAGCUGCACCAGGAAGGUUUAAACCUGUAAGCUUAAGCUUAACUUUUUACACCCGCACAUAUACAAUUUUAACUCUUCAAUCCAGCUGUAGUUUAUUUGUGAUAGGCAGCAAGCAGCACACCCAGCAGCAGGAGGGCUGGUGGACUCUGUGUUGCUCCCAGGACGGUGGCCGGGGGGGUUCCUUAGGGACAACCUGCCCAGCUGCCCUUCCUGACUGUGAGCGUCAGAGAGUCCGCAUCCUCCACUGCUGCACCCAGGACGCGGCCCUCCCCAGCAGCCGGGUCACCCCCAACGGAGCCCAGUCUGAGGGCCCUUCUGGGGACUAGGCCAGCCUCUUUCCUGACAACGAGCACACAGCCACUCACUCCACACUUUUGCAUUUCCCUACUGCAUGGAGACGUUGCCCUUCUCUGACUCAGCCCACCCCUGGCUCCCAGCCACUAUGCUCCUCACUGGACCUUCCCCGCCCUUCUCAUUAGGACCUACUGCAAGCACUCUGUUUGGAAAUCCAUCUUCUGUAGGGUGAAUCCUGACAGUCAUGUGACCCAUCUGGACCAUCGGCUGCUCUGCUUGAGUCCCAAACAACCUUGAACUCAGACCUUUCCCAACCAACUAGUCACAUGCAGCCCUAAAAUGGGUUAGUUUGGUCUUUAACUGACCAGCUCAUUGUGAACAGUUAUUGCCCAUGAACGAAGGCAGGAGGCCACUGCACUAGCGUUUGGGGGCUCAGGACAUGAAUGAAGCUGGCAUGUCCCCACCAUCUGCUGACUGCUGGUUUGAGUGACAGGCUGAAUGGCUGGACCAUGGCUGCCUGAGAAUGGUCAGUGGCCCCACUGGCCCGAAACCUGCGCCGUCUAGUUGAAAAUGAACAUUACGGGAAAAUGGAGUUAAAAGGUAGGUUUUUGGUGCAAAACUUUAUUUUUUUAACUUUAUUUAAUAAAUAUAAAUUUCCAAAGUGCA
rnacentral:lncRNA from 1 species